rnacentral:lncRNA from 13 species
ACAUAUAUUAAGCCGCCUGACUCAAGUCAUUGCACGCACCCCUGUCCAAACAGGAAGUAAACCCCCAGCCAUAAACUGCCCCUCUCAGUUCUCUUAUCUUACGAUCCCCUGACACACAAAUACCUUCUUGCAUAAACACACACACUUCAUCCCCCCUCUACUGGUCGGGUGACCAGAGCAGAAGACUCUGCUGCGCACCAAUGGGGCUCCUGCUCUGGCUAGAACAGGUCCGCCUCCAACUCUUUGGGACCAGUCAGAAGACCACCACGACAAGACUCCACCUACAUUAUUCUAUGUAUAAAAACUGUUGUAACCUUUGUUUAGGUCCCUUUUUCAGCUAACUCCAUUUGAGCUAUAUGAAUCACGUGCACGUUAAAACUGCAGGACAAGAUAUCUUUUGACUCAAUAAACUGCCUUUUUGUUACAACUGAAAUCCACUCUGUCCAGCGUCCAUGAUUUGGUCUCACUCUCCUGUAAGUUAAUCAUCAACAAAAAUGGUAGCAGAGGAUGGUUUACAACAUCUGAAUUCGAUCUAGGACAAGUUGAUGUGAGAGGAGACAAAUCAUUGGGUGCAAACCAAACGGAAGAGUGACCUCUCGCUAGGAGACGGCCAUUCAACUUGCCUCAGGAAACUGAUCAGAGCGCUCGACAUAAAAGCACUCUCUACCCAGGUUCACAAGGUCCAGGAGGGGGAGCUGCCGGGGGACACGCCACCACUGAAGGUAAAAGUUGGAGACUGGGUGAGGGUUAAAGUCCACAAGAGAAAGUGGCUGGAACCCAGGUGGACUGGACCGUACGAAGUGAAGGAGGUUACUUCACACUCAGUCCAGGUCAAAGGUAAAUCAGGCGCACCUUGGCACCACCUUACACAUUGCACCCCAGCCCCAACUCCUUCCAGAACACUGACUGAAGUCAGAGCUGAUUUGAGCAGCCUAAUUCGAUACCAAAUUAAAACACUCCUGACUCAGGUGAUGGAGUAUCAAACUCCAUCUCCCCUGACAAAGGAACCUCGCCCAGUUAGAGGGAUAUUUCUCUCUCCCUAGGCAAGGCUAGGAAUAUCUGGGCCUUUGUUUGUGAUAUUCCUACUGAUAUUUGAGGUGUCCCUGGGCACUUUCACAUGGUUAAUAGAACAACUAUCACACCCUACCACAUCACGUACACUUAUCCAGUCCCCUAUCCCUGACACCGUCCCUAACAUCACUCACUCCAAUCACUCCCGUCCCAAACGCAGAAUUACACCUACAGACCAACAAUGCACUCCAUACAAGGUUAGGAGCACCACCUUAUUGCCUAGUUUCGCUGCAUAAUAGAGGGGGUCCUUCUCGGUUCUACUAUAGUUUUCACGUCUUAAAAGACGUGAAGAGGGGGACUCCAAAAUUUGGUUUCUACCAAAUUGUUUGGUUGCUCCAUAUUCUAUUUCUAUAUAGUUUUCACGUCUAAUAGAUGUGAAGAGGGGGAUUUGUCAUAUAUACACAUAUUCAUAUACAUGGCUCAUAUAUCAAGCACAUAUAUUAAGCCGCCUGACUCAAGUCAUUGCACGCACCCCUGUCCAAACAGGAAGUACCCUACCCCCAGCCAUAAACUGCCCCUCUCAGUUCUCUUAUCUUACGAUCCCCUGACACACAAAUACCUUCUUGCAUAAACACACACACACUUCAUCCCCCCUCUACUGGUUGGGUGACCAGAGCAGAAGACUCUGCUGCGCAUCAAUGGGGCUCCUGCUCUGGCUAGAGCAGGUCCGCCUCCAACUCUUUGGGACCAGUCAGAAGACCACCACGACAAGACUCCACCUACAUUAUUCUAUGUAUAAAAACUGUUGUAACCUUUGUUUAGGUCCCUUUUUCAGCUAACUCCAUUUGAGCUAUAUGAAUCAGGUCCGUGCACGUUAAAACUGCAGGACAAGAUAUCUUUUGACUCAAUAAACUGCCUUUUUGUUACAACUGAAAUCCACUCUGUCCAGCGUCCAUGAUUUGGUCUCACUCUCCUGUAAGUUAAUCAUAAACACCUCAUACACACAAAUCUAAGUAAAGGGAUGGAAUAAUAAGAUAUACAGUGCCUUGCGAAAGUAUUCGGCCCCCUUGAACUUUGCGACCUUUUGCCACAUUUCAGGCUUCAAACAUAAAGAUAUAAAACUGUAUUUUUUUGUGAGGAAUCAACAACAAGUGAGACACAAUCAUGAAGUGGAACGACAUUUAUUGGAUAUUUCAAACUUUUUUAACAAAUCAAAAACUGAAAAAUUGGGCGUGCAAAAUUAUUCAGCCCCCCUUAAGUUAAUACUUUGUAGCGCCACCUUUUGCUGCGAUUACAGCUGUAAGUCGCUUUGGGUAUGUCUAUAUCAGUUUUGCACAUCGAGAAACUGACAUUUUUUCCCAUUCCUCCUUGCAAAACAGCUCGAGCUCAGUGAGGUUGGAUGGAGAGCAUUUGUGAACAGCAGUUUUCAGUUCUUUCCACAGAUUCUCGAUUGGAUUCAGGUCUGGACUUUGACUUGGCCAUUCUAACACCUGGAUAUGUUUAUUUUUGAACCAUUCCAUUGUAGAUUUUGCUUUAUGUUUUGGAUCAUUGUCUUGUUGGAAGACAAAUCUCCGUCCCAGUCUCAGGUCUUUUGCAGACUCCAUCAGGUUUUCUUCCAGAAUGAUCCUGUAUUUGGCUCCAUCCAUCUUCCCAUCAAUUUUAACCAUCUUCCCUGUCCCUGCUGAAGAAAAGCAGGCCCAAACCAUGAUGCUGCCACCACCAUGUUUGACAGUGGGGAUGGUGUGUUCAGCUGUGUUGCUUUUACGCCAAACAUAACGUUUUGCAUUGUUGCCAAAAAGUUCAAUUUUGGUUUCAUCUGACCAGAGCACCUUCUUCCACAUGUUUGGUGUGUCUCCCAGGUGGCUUGUGGCAAACUUUAAACAUGUGGCAAACUUUUUUUCAUGGAUAUCUUUAAGAAAUGGCUUUCUUCUUGCCACUCUUCCAUAAAGGCCAGAUUUGUGCAAUAUAUGACUGAUUGUUGUCCUAUGGACAGAGUCUCCCACCUCAGCUGUAGAUCUCUGCAGUUCAUCCAGAGUGAUCAUGGGCCUCUUGGCUGCAUCUCUGAUCAGUCUUCUCCUUGUAUGAGCUGAAAGUUUAGAGGGACGGCCAGGUCUUGGUAGAUUUGCAGUGGUCUGAUACUCCUUCCAUUUCAAUAUUAUCGCUUGCACAGUGCUCCUUGGGAUGUUUAAAGCUUGGGAAAUCUUUUUGUAUCCAAAUCCGGCUUUAAACUUCUUCACAACAGUAUCUCGGACCUGCCUGGUUUGUUCCUUGUUCUUCAUGAUGCUCUCUGCGCUUUUAACGGACCUCUGAGACUAUCACAGUGCAGGUGCAUUUAUACGGAGACUUGAUUACACACAGGUGGAUUGUAUUUAUCAUCAUUAGUCAUUUAGGUCAACAUUGGAUCAUUCAGAGAUCCUCACUGAACUUCUGGAGAGAGUUUGCUGCACUGAAAGUAAAGGGGCUGAAUAAUUUUGGCCCCCAAUUGUUCAGUUUUUGAUUUGUUCAAAACGUUUGAAAUAUCCAAUAAAUGUCGUUCCACUUCAUGAUUGUGUCCCACUUGUUGUUGAUUCUUCACAAAAAAUACAGUUUUAUAUCUUUAUGUUUGAAGCCUGAAAUGUGGCAAAAGGUCGCAAAGUUCAAGGGGGCCGAAUACUUUCGCAAGGCACUGUACAUAUAAAUAUAUGGAUGAGUGAUGACCAAAGGCAAGAUGCAAUAGAUGGUAUAAAAUACAGUAUGUUGUGAGAUGAUUAAUGCAA